AAUGAACGCUGGCGGCAGGCCUAACACAUGCAAGUCGAACGGAUCCUUCGGGAUUAGUGGCGGACGGGUGAGUAACGCGUGGGAACAUACCCAAAGGUACGGAAUAGCCUCGGGAAACUGGGAGUAAUACCGUAUGUGCUGGAAAGAGGAAAGAUUUAUCGCCUUUGGAUUGGCCCGCGUUGGAUUAGGUAGUUGGUGGGGUAAUGGCCUACCAAGCCGACGAUCCAUAGCUGGUUUGAGAGGAUGAUCAGCCACACUGGGACUGAGACACGGCCCAGACUCCUACGGGAGGCAGCAGUGGGGAAUCCUAGACAAUGGGGGAAACCCUGAUCUAGCCAUGCCGCGUGAUCGAUGAAGGCCUUAGGGUUGUAAAGAUCUUUCAGGUGGGAAGAUAAUGACUGUACCACCAGAAGAAGCCCCGGCUAACUCCGUGCCAGCCGCCGCGGUAA
rnacentral:rRNA from 1 species